rnacentral:lncRNA from 1 species
GAUCGGUGAUGAGGAACGUGGCCGAGGGCUUCCCAACCAGGGGCACUGGAAGCGGACGGAAGUGCAAAGGCCAGCAGUCUCUGGCCUUUCCUGCGGAUGGCGCAGCAGCCAGCGUCUCUCGUGCCCUCCCCAGCAGUAUCGGCGUGAGACGGACGCCACCACGAUGCUCCACUGAGCAGGAAGGAGAAUGGGGGCCUCUGGGAGCCCAAGCCCCCUGUCAACAGCGGGCACUGCCCUGCGCUUGCUCCCGUGUCCUAUCUGGAAGGUUCCUGAAGGAGGGAGAACAUUCACGCCCCCUUCUGAGAUUCCCCAAACUAACAGCUAACGUAGAUCGCUGGCUCACCCCGUCUCUGAGCUGGGCUCUCGGCACGAAGGCGGCUGAUGUCAUGUCACCGCCACCCUGCGUGAAGGCACCUUUGUGACCCCACUCCAGAGACGAGGAACCGGAAGCCCAAGCGGCCAGCCUCAGACCACAGGCCGAAGCCCAAAGCGCCAGGAUCUGCAGCCCAGGCAGCCUGGCCCCGGAGGCUGCCCCUCAACCGCCCCGCAGAGCCGCCUCCCAAGUGGCAAUGGAGGAA